AAAAAGAGAGAGAAAAAGGAUGGGAAGGAGAAGAGGAACGUUUGUUGGUUGUUUGUUUUGUUUUGUUUCUUUCUUU
rnacentral:ribozyme from 14 species